UACGUAGGGUGCGAGCGUUGUCCGGAAUUAUUGGGCGUAAAGAGCUCGUAGGCGGUGUGUCACGUCGGCCGUGAAAACCUGGGGCUUAACUCUGGGCGUGCGGUCGAUACGGGCAUCACUGGAGUUCGGCAGGGGAGACUGGAAUUCCUGGUGUAGCGGUGAAAUGCGCAGAUAUCAGGAGGAACACCGGUGGCGAAGGCGGGUCUCUGGACAGUUCCUGACGCUGAGGCACGAAGGCCAGGGGAGCAAACGGG
rnacentral:rRNA from 1 species